rnacentral:rRNA from 1 species
GCAGAAGUAUAAAUCAGCCUUUACUCACUGAAGCUAAACAGGGCUAAGCAGGGCUGAGCCCGGUCAGUACCUGAAUGGGAGACCACAUGGGAAAACUAGGUUAGUGUUGGA